UGUGAGGGUUGCUGGAGGUAUCAGAAGUGCGAAUGCUGACAUAAGUAACGAUAAAGCGGGUGAAAAGCCCGCUCGCCGGAAGACCAAGGGUUCCUGUCCAACGUUAAUCGGGGCAGGGUGAGUCGACCCCUAAGGCGAGGCCGAAAGGCGUAGUCGAUGGGAAACGGGUUAAUAUUCCCGUACUUGGUGUUACUGCGAAGGGGGGACGGAGAAGGCUAUGUUGGCCGGGCGACGGUUGUCCCGGUUUAAGCGUGUAGGUGUGUGUUCCAGGUAAAUCCGGUUCACUUUAACACUGAGGCGUGACGACGAGGCACUACGGUGCUGAAGCAACAAAUGCCCUGCUUCCAGGAAAAGCCUCUAAGCAUCAGGUAACAUCAAAUCGUACCCCAAACCGACACAGGUGGUCAGGUAGAGAAUACCAAGGCGCUUGAGAGAACUCGGGUGAAGGAACUAGGCAAAAUGGUGCCGUAACUUCGGGAGAAGGCACGCUGACACGUAGGUGAAGUGAUUUACUCAUGGAGCUGAAGUCAGUCGAAGAUACCAGCUGGCUGCAACUGUUUAUUAAAAACACAGCACUGUGCAAACACGAAAGUGGACGUAUACGGUGUGACGCCUGCCCGGUGCCGGAAGGUUAAUUGAUGGGGUCAGCGCAAGCGAAGCUCCUGAUCGAAGCCCCGGUAAACGGCGGCCGUAACUAUAACGGUCCUAAGGUAGCGAAAUUCCUUGUCGGGUAAGUUCCGACCUGCACGAAUGGCGUAAUGAUGGCCAGGCUGUCUCCACCCGAGACUCAGUGAAAUUGAACUCGCUGUGAAGAUGCAGUGUACCCGCGGCAAGACGGAAAGACCCCGUGAACCUUUACUAUAGCUUGACACUGAACAUUGAGCCUUGAUGUGUAGGAUAGGUGGGAGGCUUUGAAGUGUGGACGCCAGUCUGCAUGGAGCCGACCUUGAAAUACCACCCUUUAAUGUUUGAUGUUCUAACGUGGACCCGUUACCCGGGUUGCGGACAGUGUCUGGUGGGUAGUUUGACUGGGGCGGUCUCCUCCUAAAGAGUAACGGAGGAGCACGAAGGUUGGCUAAUCCUGGUCGGACAUCAGGAGGUUAGUGCAAUGGCAUAAGCCAGCUUGACUGCGAGCGUGACGGCGCGAGCAGGUGCGAAAGCAGGUCAUAGUGAUCCGGUGGUUCUGAAUGGAAGGGCCAUCGCUCAACGGAUAAAAGGUACUCCGGGGAUAACAGGCUGAUACCGCCCAAGAGUUCAUAUCGACGGCGGUGUUUGGCACCUCGAUGUCGGCUCAUCACAUCCUGGGGCUGAAGUAGGUCCCAAGGGUAUGGCUGUUCGCCAUUUAAAGUGGUACGCGAGCUGGGUUUAGAACGUCGUGAGACAGUUCGGUCCCUAUCUGCCGUGGGCGCUGGAGAACUGAGGGGGGCUGCUCCUAGUACGAGAGGACCGGAGUGGACGCAUCACUGGUGUUCGGGUUGUCAUGCCAAUGGCACUGCCCGGUAGCUAAAUGCGGAAGAGAUAAGUGCUGAAAGCAUCUAAGCACGAAACUUGCCCCGAG
rnacentral:rRNA from 3 species